GUGUCAGCAGCCGCGGUAAAACGUAGGACACGAGCGUUAUCCGGAGUUACUGGGCGUAAAGGGCGUUUAGGCGGGUGACUAAGUUCGCUAUGAAAGCGCCGGGCUAAACCCGGCGAGGCUGGCGGAUACUGGUGAUCUGGAGUGAGGUAGAGGGAAGUAGAAUUCCGCGUGUAGUGGUGAAAUGCGUAGAGAUGCGGAGGAAUACCAGUGGCGAAGGCGACUUCCUGGACCUUAACUGACGCUGAAGCGCGAAAGCAUGGGGAGCGAACGGGAUUAGAUACCCCCGUAGUCC
rnacentral:rRNA from 1 species